UACGUAGGGGGGCAAGCGUUGUCCGGAUUUAUUGGGCGUAAAGAGCUCGUAGGUGGUUCGGUAAGUCGGAUGUGAAAUCUCCAGGCUCAACCUGGAGGGGUCAUUCGAUACUGCCGUGACUAGAGUUCGGUAGGGGAGUGUGGAAUUCCUGGUGGAGCGGUGAAAUGCGCAGAUAUCAGGAGGAACACCGGUGGCGAAGGCGGAUCUCUGGGCCAUUACUGACGCUGAGGAGCGAAAGCGUGGGGAGCGAACAGG
rnacentral:rRNA from 1 species